GCCUCGAUGAUGUAGUGGUAGCACGCUUACCCGGUAUAGAUGAAAUGCGGGUUCGACUCCCGUUUGAGGUC